GACAGAGGGUGCAAACGUUGUCCGGAAUCAUUGGGCGUAAAGGGCGCGUAGGUGGCCUGCUAAGCGUGCGGUGAAAGCUCGGGGCUCAACCCCGAGUCGGCCGUGCGAACUGGUGGGCUUGAGCACUGUAGAGGCAGGCGGAAUUCCGGGUGUAGCGGUGGAAUGCGUAGAGAUCCGGAAGAACACCGGUGGCGAAGGCGGCCUGCUGGGCAGUAGCUGACACUGAGGCGCGACAGCGUGGGGAGCAAACAGG
rnacentral:rRNA from 1 species